AAAAAUGUAAUUUAAUUUAAAAAAGUAACGAGUUUUCUUUAUUGGUUUGGCUGACUACCAUGAGUUAAUGACAAAUGACCGAGCACAUCUGAAGUAAAUUCUCACAGAUAAAAAUGAAUACUCUUUAGAAAAGUGUGCUCCAGAUGCUCCGACUCACAUAUUACCUUUUCGGACCCCUAAACUAAGCAAGAAGAGCUCACGUGAAGCUCUGCUCUAAGCUUCCACACUGGGCAUUUUACUCAAGUGAAAUGGUAUUUGGAGAUUAGUUCUUUCAUCUGUUUUUUUGCAAGAUUAUGUCUAGAUACUAAAUCCCAUGUAUUCUUUUCCUUGAGACAGAUCUUGCUAUGUAGCCAGGUUAACCUCAAGUUCACCAUUUUACUGUUCCAGUUUCCAGACUUCUGGAAGUAUAGGUGUACACCACCGCCUGGCAUUUUGUGUGUGCCGUGCAUGUGGAGCUCAGAGCUCAAUUUCAGGUGCUUACUUCCAACUGUCUUCACUCCCCCCACCCUUUGACACAGGGUCUCUUACUAAAUUUGGAGCUAGACUCGCUAGACUGGCUGGCUAUCCAGACAUUGGAACUCUCUUAUCUUAUCUCUGCCUCCCAGUGUAGGGGUUAGGGCAUACACUGUCUAUCUACCAUUUUAUGUGGGCUCUAGGGAUCUGAACUCAAGUCAUCUUGUUAGUGGCAGCAACCGCUUUGCUUACUAAGCCAUAUCCUCAGCCCCCUCCAAUGUAUUUCUUUCUUUUAUAAAAAGAUUUAAGAAUGUAUAUGAGUGCAAUGUAGAUGUCUUCAGUCACACAUUCAUGUGCAUUUACAUCCACAUAAACAAAAAUACUCAUAAAAAUCUUUAAAAAAAAAUUCCCAUUUUGAAGUAAUUUUGUAAUUCACUUAUUUUUCACUAGCUGAUUUAUAGAGUUAUCAAUAAAUGGUCAAUCAGCACUGAAACUCUUGGGAAUUCAUUUGAAUGUUUUUAUGCUUUGGAACUUGCUAGAAGCUGAGACGGUGCACACAGAUAUUUAUAAUCUCUCCUUCACGAAACCUGGCGAGCACGGCAUGUGUGCAAGUUUCAAUAAUGGAGGAUAAUUUCUCACCGCACAUUCAUAAAAUCCAGUUAUAUUGAAAUCUGAAGUGAAGUAUUUAUAGGACAUAU
rnacentral:lncRNA from 1 species